AACGAACGCUGGCGGCGUGCCUAACACAUGCAAGUCGAGCGGGAAAGCCCGCAAGGGUGAGUACAGCGGCGCACGGGUGCGUAACACGUGGGUAAUCUGCCCUGAAGCCCGGAAUAACCUCCCGAAAGGGAAGCUAAUACCGGAUGAGACCACGGGAGCUUCGGCUCCCGCGGGAAAAGGUGGCCUCUGCAUGCAAGCUAUCACUUCAGGAUGAGCCCGCGGCCCAUCAGCUCGUUGGCGGGGUAAUGGCCCACCAAGGCUACGACGGGUAGCUGGUCUGAGAGGACGAUCAGCCACACUGGAACUGAGACACGGUCCAGACUCCUACGGGAGGCAGCAGUGGGGAAUCUUGCGCAAUGGGCGAAAGCCUGACGCAGCAACGCCGCGUGUGUGAUGAAGGUCUUCGGAUCGUAAAGCACUGUCGGGAGGGACGAAUAACGGCCAGGUGAACAAUCUGGUCGGAUGACGGUACCUCCAAAGGAAGCACCGGCUAACUCUGUGCCAGCCGCCGCCGUAACAC
rnacentral:rRNA from 1 species